UUCUCCAUCUCUCUCUCUCUCUCUCUCUCUGCGAAAAUGAAAAAAAACCGAAGCACCGACGAGCUCGCCGCCUCGUCUUCUUCAAGCUUCGUCUGUUCCUGACGUUGCUUCACCGGAGUCGCAUGCCCUCUCCGAUCCUUGCUUCUCUUAUUUUCUCCGAACACUUCCUCUCUUCGAUUCUCCGUGAGCCAGACAAGAUCCUGACUUUUCCGCCGCUUGUCUUCACCAGCGUUGGCUUCUACCGCUUCCGCCAUUGAUAUCUCAGCUUGAGCUUUGAUGAAUCCGUUGUGUCUCCGUGACAAACUCUCUCGAUCUCAUCUCACGACACCCACGAGACCGAAACCAAUACUUGUCAAAAUAAAAGCUCACUUGAUGUAGACGUCUCUUCACCAACUUAGCUUCCUUUGCCAUGUUUGUAGACGAUUCUUUGCUACCAACACAUUCUCCUUCACGUUCCUUGCAUAGACAACUCCUGUCUACAACCAUUCUUCAAAGGUAAUCUCCUUCACUCAAAUUCAUUUUUUUUUCAAGUUUUGUAACUCCCUGUCGAACCAUCAGUUUGCUUUUCCUGAAACUGAUACUUUCUUUUGUGGCCUUUCCGCGAGGUGAACGAGUCGACAGUCUUGUCACCUGCAGCCACACGAGACCUACUAAGGCAGAACCUUGAGGAUCUCCAAGCAUGUCUCGAACUUCUGUCCAGGUUGCUGUAACACGCCGUAGUCUUCAAGCUUCAAUCACCAACGAGCUGAGUCUUCUUCUCCGCACCAGAUAAGAAUUCUCCUUGCUUGUUUAUUGAAUCUUGCCUUCGAAUCUCUGUAACUAGGAUCUCUGUUAGCCUAAGCUCUGAUACCACUUGUAGAGAAUCGACCUUGGCUGUUUCUUGUAACAAGUAAAUCGACACAACAAUAUGUUGGGCGAGUCCUCUCCAAACCGGAGACAAACUCUAUAUCACUAUGAAUCGAAAACGUUACAAGCUUCGCACUAGUUGCGUGUUCUAUGCUUUAGAGAGUUUUUAUGUUUCUGUAUCUAAAACAAUGAUAGGAGAAGUCUAUUUAUACUACAAGAUCUAAGCUAGUUCUACUUGGAACAGGAUUUAGUAAUCCACCGCCAUACGUAUCUGUUUCCCUUUAGAACUAGGAGUUCCUUGUUUCACAAGAAUUAAUCUUAUUCUUGUCUUCUUUUCAGGUUCUAUCCGAAGCCCAAUAAGCCCAAGAAUGGCCCAACGAGACACCAAGGCCUCACAGGUAUAUGCGGAUGGAGAGGUUUUUCUCCGGGGAGUAGAUUGAGUCUUUGGAAAAGACGCCGUUUUGUGGGUCUAGAGACGGUGGGACAGUUGUUUCUCCUAACAUACGCUCUAUGCGGCCAUUCUUGGACUACAAGUAAACUUAUAUAAAUAAGUGAUUCAAGUUUUGUUUGAUAUAAUACUUACUUUAGAAUAGGUUUGGUUGAAACCGAAUGAGUGUAUGUAUAUAUGGGUGCAAGUGUGCAACAGCUUAUUCAAAUAUGUUGGAUGCGAACAGUUGGACUAAAUUAUUUCAUCUGGAUCACUA